GAUGAAGAACGUAGCGAAAUGCGAUACGUAGUGUGAAUUGCAGAAUUCAGUGAAUCAUCGAAUCUUUGAACGCACAUUGCGCCCGCCAGUAUUCUGGCGGGCAUGCCUGUUCGAGCGUCAUUUCAACCAUCAAGCCCCCGGCUUGUGUUGGGGACCUGCGGCUGCCGCAGGCCCUGAAAAGCAGUGGCGGGCUCGCUGUCACACCGAGCGUAGUAGCAUACAUCUCGCUCUGGGCGUGCUGCGGGUUCCGGCCGUUAAACCACCUUCAUAACCCAAGGUUGACCUCGGAUCAGGUAGGAAGACCCGCUGAACUUAAGCAUAUCAAUAAGCGGAGGA
rnacentral:misc_RNA from 1 species